AUGGAGGGCCUGACCUCUCCUCCCCACGAUUGGCCCAGCUCUGCACCACACACCCUCACAAUAACCCUCUGCAGGUGGCCAGCACAGGUAACGCUGUUACCGUUCGAUUCACAUCUGAUGCCUUGAGUGGUAGAGGCUUCAACGCAACCUGGCUAGAGGUUCCUGGAGGAUGUGGAGGGAUUGUCACGGCCCCCAGUGGAGAGAUCCACUCUCCAGAGUAUCCUAGCAACUAUUCUGACAAUGUUGACUGUUCCUGGGUCAUCACAGGGGAUGUAGGGCAUUGAGUCUUCUUCAACUUCACUGAUCUGGAUGUUGAAAGUCACAGCUCGUGCGGUUUUGAUUACGUGGCUAUCCAUGAUGGUUCACAUGAGUCUUCUCCACUCCUGGGUAAAUUUUGUGGAGUAGCCAGGCCUUCUCCCAUUACGUCC